UGUUGUUUUUGACAAAUACUCCUGCUCUCACAGUGUUCUUAUGUUGUAGUGUCUAUACACAUGUUGAAACUGUGUUAACUUUGCUUUCAGAUUAUUGAAUAGAGCAAAGUAACCCCAAAAGUUUAAAUUUUGUUGAGAUGAUGAUCAAGAGAGCUGUCUGUUAAGCUUACAGAUAUAAACUUCAAAAUAUAUGCGUUUAGGAUUAGGAUUUUAAGGGAUUCUGUUUUUUAAAUACUUUUUCUUCCUAAAAUCCUUUAAUCUGUUAUUUAGAACAUUUUUCUUAGCAUUAGCAUGGCUGGUGUGCCACUUAAAGAAACUGAAUUGCUUGUAAGUUGCUUUUAAAAUGUUAACUCAUUUUCAUAGAGAAGGGUUAGAUUUUUCUCA
rnacentral:lncRNA from 1 species